AGCCACGUGGCCCGCGUGGCCUAAUGGCAUAACAACAAACAGCUGCAACCACAAUGCAACCUAUGAGAAGGUAAGGAUUACUGCCCAUACCACAUUUUUGUCUUUUUUUUAUAGCUUUCCCAAAAUGCUGAGGCCAAUUGAAGGCAAGAAGAAGAGUAACGAAGACUAGAGGAAGAAAAAAGAAAAGAAAGACUCCGUCCUUGAACCUUGUGUGUUCCCCAUUGUCUAUAGUGGACUACCAUAAUUGAUUAUUUGGACGUGGAUCGUUACACCGGAGUGCUCAUUACAGCAGCAGACAUGCAGACUGCCAUUACAGCCCAUCUUUUUACAACCAUGUGUUUCUGGCCGUGGAUCAAAGUGAGUGCUCAAGUACUGUGACCCCCUCUCUGAUCUCAUGCAGACUCUGAAGAACAUACCAUCGCUGUUGUCAGGGCCAGCCGGGGGAGGGGGGAGUGUCUUCAUGCCCCAUCGGUUUGCUUACAAUAAGGUGAUGAUGUGGCUGUUUGGAUUAGUGUGAUUCUUUAGGCAGUGUGCUGGAGGAGGUGGUGUCGGCUGAGAGGUGUCCAGCUGGAGCCCUCGUGCCCAUAUAUGGAAGCUUCACCUUUAAACCCUGUGGCGCACUUCAACAAUGAGUGUACCCUCAUAUCCAUAUAUGGAAGCUUCACCUUUAACCCCUGUGACACACUUCACCAUACGAUGACACGCUAAACAAAUGCACAGUGCAACAGAUGAGUACCCAUACACAUGCACAGUCAUGUACAUGUACCCAAUCUGGAUGCUACAGCUUCAUCUGGGUAAGUACCUUGUGUGUGUACUGAAAAUUUUUCUCGUUGCAGAGUAUAAUUUAUAUGGCUGUGUUGACAAGAUAUUGGAUCCUCAGAGAAGACUCAUAAAAGGCAACUUAGUACGUACGUACUUCCUAUAAUAAUAAUUUUUGUACUUCUGUUUUGAACGACUUCCUCUCUCAGUAUCUAAUGUUUCAUGUGAUCGCGUUCAUGUCCAUG